rnacentral:rRNA from 1 species
GACGAACGCUGGCGGCGUGCUUAACACAUGCAAGUCGAACGCUGAAGCUUGAUGCUUGCACUGGGUGGAUGAGUGGCGAACGGGUGAGUAAUACGUGAGUAACCUGCCCUUGACUCUGGGAUAAGCCUGGGAAACUGGGUCUAAUACUGGAUACGACAUGCCACUGCAUGGUGGUGUGUGGAAAGGGUUUUACUGGUUUUGGAUGGGCUCACGGCCUAUCAGCUUGUUGGUGGGGUAAUGGCCUACCAAGGCGACGACGGGUAGCCGGCCUGAGAGGGUGACCGGCCACACUGGGACUGAGACACGGCCCAGACUCCUACGGGAGGCAGCAGUGGGGAAUAUUGCACAAUGGGCGGAAGCCUGAUGCAGCGACGCCGCGUGAGGGAUGACGGCCUUCGGGUUGUAAACCUCUUUCAGCACGGAAGAAGCGAGAGUGACGGUACGUGCAGAAGAAGCGCCGGCUAACUACGUG